rnacentral:rRNA from 1 species
AUUGAACGCUGGCGGCAGGCUUAACACAUGCAAGUCGAGCGAGUGGCGGACGGGUGAGUAAUGUCUGGGAAACUGCCUGAUGGAGGGGGAUAACUACUGGAAACGGUAGCUAAUACCGCAUACCAUCAGAUGUGCCCAGAUGGGAUUAGCUAGUAGGUGGGGUAACGGCUCACCUAGGCGACGAUCCCUAGCUGGUCUGAGAGGAUGACCAGCCACACUGGAACUGAGACACGGUCCAGACUCCUACGGGAGGCAGCAGUGGGGAAUAUUGCACAAUGGGCGCAAGCCUGAUGCAGCCAUGCCGCGUGUAUGAAGAAGGCCUUCGGGUUGUAAAGUACUUUCAGCGAGGAGGCGUUACUCGCAGAAGAAGCACCGGCUAACUCCGUGCCAGCAGCCGCGGUAAUAC